CGUUUAUGUGACAACGUCACACUAUUGAGUUGGCGUAAAAAUAAAAAAGGUUAUAUCGUUAUAUCGUUUAUAUCGUUUUAUCGCGUUCAGCGAUAAAACCACCUUUAGUUAGAUAAAUUUUUAGUAAUGCCAAAUGCGAUCUGAAGUGGAUCUUUGUGCUUAAUAAUAACUGUACUAAUUGUACAAUCAUAUCAACAUUUAAGUUUUCGAUAACAAGGAUGAGGAAGAAGACGAUGAUGAAUUGAUAGAUCUCGGAAUUAAAAGCGCAAAUGUUUUACAAUUUGGAGAUGAAGAUAAUGAUGACAAAGAGGAUCCAGAAUUAUUGCGUUCCACAAUAUUGAUUCCAUCUACCAUUUAAAUCUAACAUUUAAAUGGCCAAUAUCUGCGCGAUUUUUUGCUAAAUUUUUCCAUUAAUUUUCGGAAGUACGCAAUAAUUGAUCUAUUGAGGUGUCACACUUGAUUCACAGUUUCCCUUCUCCAUAUACGCUUUAAAAUAUAAAGAGUUACGGGGCAUAUAUAUAUAGACAUUGGCAGUACAGGAUUCUAGUAUGUGAUUACUUUUUCUGGGAGAAAGAAAUAAGAUUAAUAAACGACUCGGUACACACACGAGUUAUAUGCAUGAGAAUAAAACAAUUUACACAGGAUGUUUCAGAUCUCCUCAAACAUAUCUUUUACAUUUCGCGUUUAUCUUGCAGACACUUUACGAAAAAGAUGCAAAAAUUACACCGAUACACGAUGUAAUUCGUAAAUAGCAAUGUUUUUGCACAUAAAAAAGCAGCGUUGCCAUCAUGAAUAAUGUUUCUUUUUUUUUUUUUUUAAUUUGGAAUCCGUCCACGAAAAUUAAUUGGCUAUGAAACCGACGUCAAGGCGAUGGUCCUCGGGAUAUACAGUGUUUUGCCGCGAUCUCCGUCAUAAUGCACAAAGCAAAAUGGAUAUUGAUGCAUGCCACACAGUAAUUAUACUUAUCGCUUAUCAUACAUAUCUACAAACCUAUGAUCACCGAUCUUUGCCCGUAGAAUACUUUUCGUCCUAUAUGUAAAACAAUCUAUAUAUGUCGUGCCGUAAUUAUUUACAAGAAUGAUUAGAGCGAACGUGCCGUACAAACUUCACACACGUGUUCACAUACAACAGCGACAAUUGAAAAGGGAACAGAAAGUUCGCAUAAUCAAUUUGAAGGCGAAAUUUACGAAUUUCUUUUUUUAAAGAAAUAAAUAGAUACUGUAAUACUUUUAGGUGUUAUUAAUUAUUAACUGAGACGUAGAAAAUUAAUUAGUAAAACAAAAUUUGUUAAAUAUAUAGGAAUUUUUUGUCAUUAAGGACAAAUCCGAAAGUUUCGAGUGUCUCACAAUUCUGUGACUUUUAAGGGAGCAAUCUGCUAUUCUCUGACUUGGUUUUCGUCAGGAUUCUUGAUUGUAAAUAGAUCAUUAGAAAAAUAUUACAAAAUGAUAACAACAUAAAUGUAAAAAUAGCUAACGUUAAAAUUUUGUGUUGUGUAAAUGUUAUUUGCGUUAUUUUUUUAUUUAUUUGUUAGUUAUGUUAUUUUGUUAUUCGAAAUCUUCGGGCUUGUUUUCAAUGAUAGAAAACCCCUGUAUUUUCAAUCAAUUUUGUAUUAUAAAUUUUAAUUCUCUUAAAUAUAAUAAUAACAUAAGUUCUCUUUCUGAGAACUAUAUUCCAUUUAUUUCUUUCUCCGAAUUAAAUUCUCAAAUUUUGCUUUCAAUUUGACCAUAUAUUUAUAUAUAAAUAUUUUGUCCCUCCUUAUAUUUCUCUCGCUUUAUUGCAGACUGGCGUGUCUUUAUCAUGAAAGGUUUGAACAUUGUUCUAGUUAUAUGCAGCAAGAAAAAGACCAAAAACGAUCAAUUUUCAGUGUUCUUACAUAACCGUCUCGAAAUUAAGUCAUUUCGUACUAGAUUGGGUUAAAAAUCACGUGCAUAUACAUGCCAUAUAUAACGAGAACUAUUCUCCAAUGCAAUCAAUUUUAUGUGCUUGUACCAUAUACAGGGGAUAGAUAAAAUAAUGUGAAUAUCUGGAAAA